AGGAGGGGACGGGGACCCACGUGGCUCCAGCGCUGCCUGAAUUCACAGCAGCCCGGGAGCAUCGCCCCCCAUUCCGCAGGAUUUCCCAUUCCCAAACCUUGGCCACAUGGAGGAGGAAGAGGCUUUGAGGAAGAAGAUGAUGCCUCAGGACACCCAGGCAGGGAAGGAGCUGAGGAUGGAGACCAGGGAGGACAAAUCCCCACAGCAGAACCUCGUGGAAGAGGCUGUGUUGAGCCGCUCCAGGGCACAGGAAUCCAAUGGGGAAGAAAAGCCCUGGGGAUCUUGCAGGAGGAGGGGCUGCAAACCCAGCCCAGGGUGCUCUGAGGAGGAAAGACCCACCCUGACCAGGAAAGUGGGCAGAGCUUCAGCCAGAGCUCAAAGCUGGUGGUCCAUGAGCUGCUUCAUGAUGGAGAGAAGCCCUACAAGUGCUUGGAA